rnacentral:rRNA from 1 species
AUUGAACGCUUGCGGCAGGCUUAACACAUGCAAGUCGAGCGGGGUGAUGGUGCUUGCACUAUCACUUAGCGGCGGACGGGUGAGUAAUGCUUAGGAAUCUGCCUAUUAGUGGGGGACAACAUCUCGAAAGGGAUGCUAAUACCGCAUACGUCCUACGGGAGAAAGCAGGGGAUCACUUGUGACCUUGCGCUAAUAGAUGAGCCUAAGGCGGAUUAGCUAGUUGGUGGGGUAAAGGCCUACCAAGGCGACGAUCUGUAGCGGGUCUGAGAGGAUGAUCCGCCACACUGGGACUGGGACACGGCCCAGGAUCCUACGGGAGGCAGCAGUGGGGAAGAUUGGACAAUGGGGGGAACCCUGAUCCAGCCAUGCCGCGGGUGUGAAGAAGGCCUUAUGGUUGUAAAGCACUUUAAGCGAGGAGGAGGCUCUUUUGGUUAAUACCCAAGAUGAGUGGACGUUACUCGCAGAAUAAGCACUGGCUAACUCUGUGCCAGCCGCCGCCGCGG